UAGGGAAUCUUCGGCAAUGGACGAAAGUCUGACCCAGCAACGCCGCGUGAGUGAAGAAUGUUUUCGGAUCGUAAAACUCUGUUGUUAGAGAAGAACAAGGACGUUAGUAACUGAACGUCCCCUGACGGUAUCUAACCAGAAAGCCACGGCUAACUACGUGCCCGCAGCCGCGGUAAUACGUAGGUGGCAAGCGUUGUCCGGAUUUAUUGGGGGUAAAGCGAGCGCAGGCGGUUUCUUAAGUGUGAUGUGAAAGCCCCCGGCAGAACCGGGGAGGGUCAUUGGAAACUGGGAGACUUGAGUGCAGAAGAGGAGAGUGGAAUUCCAUGUGUAGCGGUGAAAUGCGGAGAUAUAUGGAGGAACACCAGUGGCGAAGGAGGCUCUCUGGUCGGUAACGGACGCUGAGGCUGGAAAGCGUGGGGAGCAAACAGG
rnacentral:rRNA from 1 species